AUUGAACGCUGGCGGCAUGCCUUACACAUGCAAGUCGAACGGUAGGGGGAGCAAUCCCCUGAGAGUGGCGAACGGGUGAGUAAAGCAUCGGAACGUGCCCAGUUGUGGGGGAUAACUACUCGAAAGAGUGGCUAAUACCGCAUACGACCUGAGGGUGAAAGCGGGGGACCGAAAGGCCUCGCGCAGUUGGAGCGGCCGAUGUCAGAUUAGCUAGUUGGGGGGGUAAAGGCCCACCAAGGCGACGAUCUGUAGCUGGUCUGAGAGGACGACCAGCCACACUGGGACUGAGACACGGCCCAGACUCCUACGGGAGGCAGCAGUGGGGAAUUUUGGACAAUGGGCGCAAGCCUGAUCCAGCCAUGCCGCGUGCAGGAAGAAGGCCUUCGGGUUGUAAACUGCUUUUGUCAGGGAAGAAAUCCCCUGGGUUAAUACCUCGGGGGGAUGACGGUACCUGAAGAAUAAGCACCGGCUAACUACGUGCCAGCAGCCGCCGUAAUAC
rnacentral:rRNA from 1 species